rnacentral:rRNA from 1 species
CCCUUAGAUGUUCUGGGCUGCACACGUGCUACACUGGCAGGUUCAGCGAGCUUCAUGCCCUGAUCUGAAAGGAAUGGGAAAUCUUUUCAAAACCUGCCGUGCUUGGGAUAGAUGUUUGCAAUUAUUCAUCUUCAACGAGGAUUGCCUUGUAAGCGCACGUCAUCAGCGUGCAUUGAAUACGACCCUGUAUUCUGUACACACCGCCCGUCGCUCCUACCGAUUGAAGUUUUCGGUGAGUUGACAGGAGGAUUUUUUUGAGACUGGUUCGCCAGUGGAUUUUAGAUCCAAAUGCCAACGAAUCGAUGGCUUUAGAGGAAGGAGAAGUCGUAACA